rnacentral:rRNA from 1 species
GACGAAGGGGGCUAGCGUUGUUCGGAAUUACUGGGCGUAAAGCGAGUGUAGGUGGUUGUCAUAGUCAGGCGUGAAAGCCUUGAGCUCAACUCAAGAAAUGCGCUUGAUACUGGGCAGCUAGAGGACCGGAGAGGAUAGUGGAAUUCCCAGUGUAGUGGUGAAAUACGUAGAGAUUGGGAAGAACACCAGUGGCGAAGGCGGCUAUCUGGACGGUUUCUGACACUAAGACUCGAAAGCGAGGAGGCGAACAA